UACAGAGGUCUCAAGCGUUGUUCGGAUUCAUUGGGCGUAAAGGGUGCGUAGGCGGCGCGGUAAGUCGGGUGUGAAAUCUCGGAGCUUAACUCCGAAACUGCAUUCGAUACUGCCGUGCUUGAGGACUGGAGAGGAGACUGGAAUUUACGGUGUAGCGGUGAAAUGCGUAGAUAUCCGGAGGAACACCAGUGGCGAAGGCGACUUUCUGGCCUGUUCUUGACGCUGAGGCGCGAAAGCUAGGGGAGCAAACGGG
rnacentral:rRNA from 1 species